GGUUGCGAUCAUACCAGCAUUAAUGCACCGGAUCCCAUCAGAACUCCGCAGUUAAGCGUGCUUGGGCGAGAGUAGUACUAGGAUGGGUGACCCCCUGGGAAGUCCUCGUGUUGCAACCC
rnacentral:rRNA from 1 species